rnacentral:rRNA from 1 species
GACGAACGCUGGCGGCGUGCUUAACACAUGCAAGUCGAACGGUAAGGCCCUUUCGGGGGUACACGAGUGGCGAACGGGUGAGUAACACGUGGGUGAUCUGCCCUGCACUUUGGGAUAAGCCUGGGAAACUGGGUCUAAUACCGGAUAGGACUACGCGAUGCAUGUCGUGUGGUGGAAAGCUUUUGCGGUGUGGGAUGGGCCCGCGGCCUAUCAGCUUGUUGGUGGGGUGAUGGCCUACCAAGGCGACGACGGGUAGCCGGCCUGAGAGGGUGUCCGGCCACACUGGGACUGAGAUACGGCCCAGACUCCUACGGGAGGCAGCAGUGGGGAAUAUUGCACAAUGGGCGCAAGCCUGAUGCAGCGACGCCGCGUGGGGGAUGACGGCCUUCGGGUUGUAAACCCCUUUCAGCACAGACGAAGCGUAAGUGACGGUAUGUGCAGAAGAAGCACUGGCCAACUACGUG